rnacentral:misc_RNA from 1 species
AAAAAAUGAUGAAUGUCGGAGGGCGUUCAAAGUUUCUUACUUGUCGCUCUCCGUGUAUUCAACCAACCCGCUCUUGUAUUUGGAUCAACCGAAAAUUAACAAAAAUACUUAUAAUAAAAAU